GACAUUUAUGUGCAUUGGGUCAGUGCAUCUGGCUGUUAACCAGAAGGUUGGUGGUUCGAGCCCAGCCAGAGACG